AGAGAGGAAGACACCUAACACAACUAGGACGACAGACGUGAUCAGCAAGAUGGAGAACACACAAAGACACACAAAGGGUACCCUCUCUCCCUCUGACACCUUCUCCGUCUCAACCUCUCAGACCAAACCCCACUGUAGACCUUUGAGAAAGAGAGAGGAAGGGCAGAAGAGAGCGCGAGGACAUUGGGCAGCAGUGGGUACAUGUUUGCCUCCUGGUAAGGCUCAGAUACACAUUCCUCUGGUCUCUCUGACAGUUAUUCCCUCAGCUGGGGUGGAGCAUGCAGAGCACCCCUGAUCUGGC
ensembl:lncRNA